UAGGGAAUAUUGGUCAAUGGGUGCGAGCCUGAACCAGCCAUGCCGCGUGCAGGAAGAAGGCCUUCUGGGUUGUAAACUGCUUUUGCCUGUGGAUAAAAUGGUCUUGCGAGACUAAUUGAAGGUAACAGGUGAAUAAGCCACGGCUAACUACGUGCCAGCAGCCGCGGUAAUACGUAGGUGGCAAGCGUUGUCCGGAUUUAUUGGGUUUAAAGGGUGCGUAGGCGGUUGAUUAAGUCAGUUGUGAAAUACGGUAGCUUAACUAUCGAGGUGCAAUUGAUACUGGUUGACUUGAGUACAGACGAGGUAGGCGGAAUUGACGGUGUAGCGGUGAAAUGCAUAGAUAUCGUCAAGAACACCGAUAGCGAAGGCAGCUUACUAGACUGUAACUGACGCUGAGGCACGAAAGUGUGGGGAUCAAACAGGAUUAGAUACCCGCGUAGUCC
rnacentral:rRNA from 1 species